rnacentral:rRNA from 1 species
AUACGUAGGUGACAAGCGUUAUCCGGAUUUACUGGGCGUAAAGGGCGUGUAGGCGGUCUUGCAAGUCAGAAGUGAAAUUCCUGAGCUCAACUCGGGCGCUGCUUCUGAAACUGCAGGACUUGAGUGCUGGAGGGGAUAGCGGAAUUCCUAGUGGAGCGGUAAAAUGCGAAGAUAUUAGGAAGAACACCGGUGGCGAAGGCGCAAAUUUGGGAAGUAACUGACAUUGAGACGACAAACAGUGGGGAGCAAACAGGAUUAGAUGCCCGUGUAGUCCACGCCGUAAACGAUGAAUACUAAGUGUAGGGGGUAUCGAGUCCCUCUGUGCCGCAGGUAACACAAUAAGUAUUCCGCCGGGGAAGUACGGCCGCAAGGUUGAAACUGAAAGAAAUUGACGGGG